UCGGGAAUUUUGGGCAAUGGGCGAAAGCCUGACCCAGCAACGCCGCGUGAAGGAUGAAGUAUUUCGGUAUGUAAACUUCGUAAGAAUAGGAAGAAUAAAUGACGGUACUAUUUGUAAGGUCCGGCUAACUACGUGCCAGCAGCCGCGGUAAUACGUAGGGACCAAGCGUUGUUCGGAUUUACUGGGCGUAAAGGGCGCGUAGGCGGUGUGUCAAGUCAGUUGUGAAAUCUCCGAGCUUAACUCGGAACGGUCAACUGAUACUGUCACACUAGAGUACAGAAGGGGCAAUCGGAAUUCUUGGUGUAGCGGUGAAAUGCGUAGAUAUCAAGAGGAACACCUGAGGCGAAGGCGGGUUGCUGGGCUGAUACUGACGCUGAGGCGCGAAAGCUAGGGUAGCAAACGGGAUUAGAUACCCCUGUAGUCCCUGAGCGGGCUGGCAAGGCGC
rnacentral:rRNA from 1 species